AAGGACGUGACACAGGACAGCUUCAGGAAGAAGACCAAAGGAUUAAGUUACAGGAUGUAACACAGGACAGCUUCAGGAAGAAGACCAAAGGAUUAAGUUGCAGGAUGCGACACAGGACAGCUUCAGGAAGAAGACCAAAGGAUUAAGUUACAGGAUGUAACACAGGACAGCUUCAGGAAGAAGACCAAAGGAUUAAGUUGCAGGAUGCGACACAGGACAGCUUCAGGAAGAAGACCAAAGGAUUAAGUUGCAGGAUGCGACACAGGACAGCUUCAGGA
rnacentral:misc_RNA from 1 species